CCUACGGGACGCACCAGUGGGGAAUAUUGCACAAUGGGCGCAAGCCUGAUGCAGCCAUGCCGCGUGUAUGAAGAAGGCCUUCGGGUUGUAAAGUACUUUCAGCGGGGAGGAAGGUGUUGUGGUUAAUAACCACAGCAAUUGACGUUACCAGCAGAAGAAGCACCGGCUAACUCCGUGCCAGCAGCCGCGGUAAUACGGAGGGUGCAAGCGUUAAUCGGAAUUACUGGGCGUAAAGCGCACGCAGGCGGUCUGUCAAGUCGGAUGUGAAAUCCCCGGGCUCAACCUGGGAAUUGCAUUUGAAACUGGCAGGCUAGAGUCUUGUAGAGGGGGGUAGAAUUUCAGGUGUAGCGGUGAAAUGCGUAGAGAUCUGAAGGAAUACCAGUGGCGAAGGCGGCCCCCUGGACAAAGACUGACGCUCAGAUGCGAAAGCGUGGGGAGCAAACAGGAUUAGAUACCCGGGUAGUC
rnacentral:rRNA from 1 species